rfam:Zea mays cultivar B73 chromosome 10, whole genome shotgun sequence.
UAUAAGCUAUGAGGACUCCUAUUAGGACGGUAUCUAAAGGGUUGGCUUAUUCCAACCCUUGUGAUUAUACCAAAACUGAAAAUGGUUUCUGAGCCAAUC